UACGUAGGGGGCUAGCGUUGUCCGGAAUCAUUGGGCGUAAAGAGCGUGUAGGCGGUCCGGUAAGUCCGCUGUGAAAGUCGGGGGCUCAACCCUCGAAUGCCGGUGGAUACUGUCGGGCUAGAGUGCGGAGGAGGCGACUGGAAUUCCUGGUGUAGCGGUGGAAUGCGCAGAUAUCAGGAGGAACACCGGUGGCGAAGGCGGGUCUCUGGGCAGUAACUGACGCUGAGGAGCGAAAGCGUGGGGAGCGAACAGG
rnacentral:rRNA from 1 species